GCCAGCAUAGCUCAGUGGUAGAGCUACUGAUUUGUAAUCAGUGGGUCGCGGGUUCAAAUCCUGCUGCUGGCUCCA
rnacentral:tRNA from 1 species